rnacentral:rRNA from 1 species
CGCAAGGUGGUAAAGUUCUACUCCACCUGCUUCGGCUUCCGCGAGCCCUACAAGGUGUUGUUCGACGGCACCUUCGUGCACCACCUCCUCGUCGACCAACUCCUCUGGUCCUCCCCUAUCACGGGAAGGAUGGGCCCCGUCCAGAGGGCGCCCCCUCUCUUCACCUCCAAGUGCGUCCAGGCUGAGCUCCGCCGCCUCGGCAAGUCCCACUCCGAGGCCUUCGACGCCGCCCAGCUCCUCGCCACCGCCAGUUGCUAGGAUGACAAAGUGGUCAAUGCAGUGGAUUGUCUAUAAUUGGUUGGUGAUAAGAAUCCAGAGCACUACUUUGUCGCCACCCAGGAUUUUGGUCUCCGGGCAAAGCUACGAGAGGUUCCUUGUGUUCCUGUGAUAUACGGUCUGAAGAACUCCCUGUUUAUUGAGCAACCCUCUGUGCAGCAACGCAAGUUUGUUCAGUUGAACGAGGAGAAGCGUAUCCAUAUGGAAAAAUCAGAAUAUAAGAAGCUGCUGAAGGCGUCAUCAGAAGGAAAGGCAUCUGUCGGUGGAAACAUACCUGGAGUGGAAGAGAAGAGCAAGUUUAAAAGGAACAGAGCAAAAGGUCCAAACCCACUCUGCUGAAAGAAAAAGAAACCAAAGCCCCAACCAUCAGCUGCUCAAAGUCAGGAUCAAAAGGCUGAUGGUGAGGCGAAGCGAAAGAGGGUUAGGAAGCGGAAGAGAAGCAUCAAAGAUAGCAGUCAAAGCAGAGACAGUGAGCUGAUGGACCUACAAAGAUUAUGUGCUGAUGGUGUUUCUUCAAAUGCUACAUAA